UGAGAAACGGCUACCACAUCUAAGGAAGGCAGCAGGCGCGUAAAUUACCCAAUCCUGACUCAGGGAGGUAGUGACAAGAAAUAGCAAACCGGGAACCUCAUGGUUUCACGGUAUUGCAAUGAGAACAAUUUAAAACCCUUAGCGAGAAUCAAGUGGAGGACAAGUCUGGUGCCAGCACCCGCGGUAAUUCCAGCUCCACUAGCGUAUAUUAAAGUUGUUGCAGUUAAAAAGCUCGUAGUUGAACCUCUGUCUGGGGCUAGUUUUGGCUUUGGUCAGGCUAGUUCUAGGCAUCCGCCUACAAGACUUAGAGGGCAUUCAGUUGUUCACUAGGAGGAGUAGGCAUUUUACUUUGAAAAAAUUAGAGUGUUUAAGGCAGGCAAUCGCCCGCAUAUAUUAGCAUGGAAUAAUAGAAUAGGACACUUUUCCAUUUCGUUGGUUAUUGGAAUCGUGUAAUGAUUAAUAGGGACAGUUGUGGGCAUUUGUAUUUAAUUGUCAGAGGUGAAAUUCUUGGAUUUAUUAAAGACAAACUAACGCGAAAGCAUUUGCCAAGGAUGUUUUCAUUAAUCAAGAACGAAAGUUAGGGGAUCAAAGGCGAUCAGAUACCGUCCUAGUCUUAACUAUAAACUAUUCCGACUCAAUGUUUGACUGGCUUAUAUAACCAGUUGAGCGUUGUAUGAGAAAUCAAAGUCUUUAGGUUCUGGGGGGAGUAUGGUUGCAGAGCUGAAACUUAAAGGAAUUGACGGAAGAGCACAACCAGGAGUGGAUUCUGCGGCUUAAUUUGACUCAACACGGGGAAACUUACCAGGUUAAAACAAUGGUGGGAUUGACAGUUUGAGAGCGCUUUCUUGAUUGGUUGGGUGGUGGUGCAUGGCCGUUCUUAGUUGGUGGAGUGAUUUGUCUGCUUAAUUGCGUUAACGAACGAGACCUUAACCUGCUUACUAGACUGGCGAUCAUCAAUCGUUAGCUCUUCUUAGAGGGACUUUGGUUGUUUUAACUCCAAGGAAGUUUGAGGCAAUAACAGGUCUGUGAUGCCCUUAGAUAUCCUGGGCCGCACGCGUCAUACAAUGACUAGUUCAGAAAGUUUUCUCCUGACCCGAAAGGGGAUGGGUAAUCUUGAUAAUACUAGUCGUGUUAGGGAUCGAUCUUUGCAAUUAUAGAUCUUGAACGAGGAGUUCCUAGUAAGUGCGGUUCAUCAGACCGUACUGAUUACGUCCCUGCUCUUUGUACACACCGCCCGUCGCUUCUACCGAGUGGGUGGUCCGGUGAGAUAAUUGAACUUCGCAGGUAACUGAGAGGAAAGAUUAUCAAACCUAUCCACCUCGAGGAAGAAGAAGUCGUAACAAGGUU
rnacentral:rRNA from 1 species